rnacentral:rRNA from 1 species
AGCGAACGCUGGCGGCAGGCCUAACACAUGCAAGUCGAACGGAUCCUUCGGGAUUAGUGGCGGACGGGUGAGCAACACGUGGGAACGUGCCCUUUGGUUCGGAACAACUCAGGGAAACUUGAGCUAAUACCGGAUGUGCCCUUCGGGGGAAAGAUUUAUCGCCAUUGGAGCGGCCCGCGUCUGAUUAGCUAGUUGGUGAGGUAACGGCCCACCAAGGCGACGAUCAGUAGCUGGUCUGAGAGGAUGAUCAGCCACACUGGGACUGAGACACGGCCCAGACUCCUACGGGAGGCAGCAGUGGGGAAUCUUGCGCAAUGGGCGAAAGCCUGACGCAGCCAUGCCGCGUGAAUGAUGAAGGUCUUAGGAUUGUAAAAUUCUUUCAGCGGGGACGAUAAUGACGGUACCCGCAGAAGAAGCUCCGGCUAACUUCGUG